UACGUAGGGGGCUAGCGUUGUCCGGAUUUAUUGGGCGUAAAGAGCUCGUAGGCGGUUCGUCGCGUCGGCUGUGAAAACCCGAGGCUCAACCUCGGGCCUGCAGUCGAUACGGGCGGACUGGAGUUCGGCAGGGGAGACUGGAAUUCCUGGUGUAGCGGUGAAAUGCGCAGAUAUUAGGAGGAACACCGGUGGCGAAGGCGGGUCUCUGGGCCGAUACUGACGCUGAGGAGCGAAAGCGUGGGGGAGCGAACAAG
rnacentral:rRNA from 1 species